CAGCAGAAGGAGUGGGCUGCUAGGAUACAGUCCUCAGCAGGCAGGUUGUGGAAACCCUCAUCUAAAGGGGAGCGACGAAUAGCCAGCAAUGUUGCUAUUUAAACGAACAUCCAUGAGCAUGGAAGCUGGGAUGUUGGAGAAAAAGAUAGCCGAUUGAGAGAGGUGCCAGUCCACCAUGCCUUGCUGUACUCAACCAAUCCACGCCGUGGCUGGGUGUACCAGUAGCCACUGGAGUUAAAGGUUAAUGACCAUCAGGCCUGUUGUAACCCAGCCCCAGUCAUGUGAUAUAAAAGACCUGAUUCAUCUUGGCAAGAUUCUGAUUGUGCGUUGCUGUAAGUGUUUUGAAACCAUUUUUCACCUAUGCUGCUAUUCUCCCCCCUAAAUCCUGCACCAGCAGCUGGUG